CUCUUAUCUUGAGCGGUGGAGGGACUGGCCCUAUGAAACCGCGGCAACCUUCGACGAAGUUUAUUCGAAAGGUGCUAAUUCCUGCGAAGCAUAGCUUUGACAGAUGAGAG
rfam:Virgibacillus massiliensis genome assembly, contig: 000001